rnacentral:rRNA from 1 species
UACGUCGGGGGCAAGCGUUGUCCGGAUUUAUUGGGCGUAAAGCGCUCGCAGGUGGUUCAUUGCGUCGUGCGUGAAAGACCCCGGCUCAACUGGGGAGGGUCGUGCGAAACGGGUGAACUAGAGGCCAGUAGGGGGAUGCGGAAUUCCGGGUGUAGUGGUGGAAUGCGUAGAGAUCGGGAGGAACACCAGUGGCGAAGGCGGCUACCUGGACCAGCACUGACACUGAGGCACGAAAGCGUGGGGAGCAAACAGG